UACAGAGGGUGCUAGCGUUGUUCGGAAUUACUGGGCGUAAAGCGCAUGUAGGCGGCUUUUUAAGUCAGGGGUGAAAUCCCGGGGCUCAACCCCGGAACUGCCCUUGAAACUGGAGAGCUAGAAUCUUGGAGAGGCGAGUGGAAUUCCGAGUGUAGAGGUGAAAUUCGUAGAUAUUCGGAAGAACACCAGUGGCGAAGGCGACUCGCUGGACAAGUAUUGACGCUGAGGUGCGAAAGCGUGGGGAGCAAACAGG
rnacentral:rRNA from 1 species